UGAUCCCAUUGCUUUCUAUGUUAAGUUCCUCCGUUUCAAGCAGGCACAACUCUUUUGUUUUAAGUUCAAAUAAAGUGGCAAUCAUUGCAUUGCAAAGCAACACUUCAUAGUGUCUUGUACUGAAAAAAUCAACAUACCUUUAAUUGCAUAUAAGAAAGAACUGGUUCCCAGAACUUCGGAUGUACCCAAACAGGUACUUCAGAUCUGACAAACAGACAAAAUGUAACCUCUUUUUAAAAUUUGGUGCAGGUUUUUUAAUAUUCAAAAUUAAAAGUCCAAAAGUGUUCUACAAUGAUCACCAGUCCUUCAGCUUUCAUUUGAUACAAAAAAUACCUAAAUAUUCUACAUAUUUUGAAAGUUACACUCAUGCGUAGGAACUAUUUUGUGUUAAAUAUGUACUACUUUCUGGUAUGUGCUUUCUGGCCGAGCCCGAAUUAGUGGUGUUACACCUAUAGCAGAACCAAACUUGCUAUAUUGACUUUAGCAUUACUUUAUUUCAUUCUAUGAUCUAUUUCAAGCAAUAAAAACACAUAAAGCUUUAGUCCAAAUACCAUUUUACUAAUUUUAAGCUCAAAUUGGACUAGUAGUAACAUAUGGGUUAUUCAAAGAAAACUGCAUAUUGAUAUUACAAAUGGCCAAUUUACUUUUUUUAUUCUCAAUAUCAUUUUUUUAUUUAUUAAUUUCUAUUAGGAAAGCUGUGUGCGUACCAAUAGUUAUAUUUUUAUAAGAGGUUCUUCAUCAAAUAAAAAUAUAUUAGUCCAAACUUAAGACAUAACUGAAAAAAUUGUCCCCCCUUUUUUCUUUAAAUUGGAAAAGGGCUUUUGUUUUGUAUAAACAAUAAUUCUGUGGUAAAAAAUAGAUUAUCAAGAGUAAUUUAUAUAUCCCCCUCUAGAUAACUUGCUAAACUGGUUCAAAAUUGCAUGUAUAGUGAGAUUUUAGAAUUCUUAAAUGAGUGUUUACCAUGUGCCUAGAUUGUAAAAGGCUACCAUAAGAAACACAAUAAAACUUGAAAAAUCAUUGAAUAAUUAUGACCAAGAGCUAUGUUGUACCAUAUGCAAGUCAUAAAAUACAUGUUUUAUUGAUUCCAAUCAUAAAAAAUGCAAAAAUAAGAACUUAGAGCCAAGUCUUAACUGCAUGCAUGUUGUAUGACCAUAAAAGGCUAAAAUACUCGAGUAUGCCAAUUUAAGAGGUAACCUUUGCCAUAAACAGGAAGGUUCACCAAAAAUGAUGAUGAUUACUAACAUCAUAUUUGACUUAUUUUCAUUGGAAUAGGUACAACUUCUAAAAAUUGGAUUUCUGAUGAUUCUCUGUAAUAGGAAGUACACCACUAAUUCAUGGUCCCAUUGCUUUCUAUGUUAAAUUCCUCCGUUUCAAGCAGGCACACCUCUUUUGUUUUAAGUUCAAAUAAAGUGGCAAUCAUUGCAUUGCAAAGCAACACUUUAUGGUGUCUUGUACUGAAAAAAUCAACAUACCUUUAAUGGCAUAUAAAAAAGAACUGGUUCCCAGAACUUAGGAUGUACAGGUACUUCAGAACUGACAAACAGACAAAAUGUACCCUCUUUUUAAAAUUUGGUGCAGUUUUUUUAAUAUUCAAAAUUAAAAGUCCAAAAGUGUUUUACAAUGAUCAUCAGUCCUUCAGCUUUCAUUUGAUACCAAAAAUACCUAAAUAUUCUACAUAUUUUGAAAGUUACACUCAUGCGUAGGAACUAUUUUGUGUUAAAUAUGUACUACUUUCUUGUAUGUGCUUUCUGGCC
rnacentral:lncRNA from 1 species